ensembl:lncRNA
CCAACCGCUCCUCUGCACAGGGCUCCGUUUGGCUGCAAAACUGGGCAAGGCCAGCUGGGGACAGGCCCUGGUGCCAGGAGAAUGGAGAGCCCCCAGGGGUUGGCAAAGGAGGACAAGAUGUCUCUCUGCUUUGUUCUGCCUCCUCAGAAGUCGAUCAGGCACCAGAAAUUUCCUGACGUUCCUCAAAGAGGGGCAGGCAGCUGAGGCCGUUGCAAGAGGAGGAGUCCCGCAAGCCUUCCCUCUAUGGGGCUGAGCGUGCUGACCCCAACCACGCUCCCACGCCAGCGUCAGCCCCGGGGAUAACAGAGCCUAGCACGGGGUUCCCCGGGAGCUCGCCAGCCCCACGCGAUGGCGUGUUCUCCUUGUCACCUCCGUGGGUGAUGGGCUGACGGUUGGACUAGAAGAUCUUCGUGUUUUCUCCAACCUGAGUGAUUCUGUGAUACAUUAAAUGAAGCACCGCGGGACUGUCCCCAGGGCUCCCGGCUGUGCUGGUGGCCCCGUGUGGCACUGAGCAUCUCUGCUGGGCUCCUCUCCUCGGGAUCCACUGCUCUUCCACCACAGCGAUGCUGCACCGUGCCACAAACCCCCGGGUGGAAUGGACAUCACAGCUGCCCCAGGGCUCGGCGUGCUGCAGCUCUUAGCCCACAGCAGAGACAGGGAUGGAGCUGCUCCAGCAUAGGCUCUGCUGGUCCAGCCUGCUUUUGCAGCCUGCUCUUCUCCAAAGCUGCAUCCCUGAAGAUGCUGAAGUCAGGCUGUUAUUGCAGAGGAAACCUGUGGAGAGAGACACGUGGGGUUUGAGGAUUAGCUGCUGAAACAGAUGGGAAUUUCCCGGAGCAAGGAGCUGAGGAGGGCAGGGAGGGCUCCUAUGCAGCGGGGCUGCUGCCAGCCACGUGGGCUGUGUGAGGACCCUGGGAUGCCCACUGCCUCCCCACAGCACUGCUGCUGACUCACAUCUCCGCGGGGAGCGGCACACGGCAGCUGUGCGCCCACCCCCUGCACUGCGCACCAGAGCUGGGCACCGGCAUGCUGCAGGGCUGGCAGCCCGUCCUGUUUGGGGACGGUGUCUCCGUGGGGUCCCAGAAGCACUGUCUCUCAUAGAGGCUGCUCGUUGCACACUGCUUUGUGCCCCGAUGCCGCCUGGUGCAUCUCCCACAAGCAGUUCGUGCAGCACUGGCACCGGGAGGCUGUCUGCCUGCAGGGCCCGACGGGAGCUGUGCCGUAUGCUCCGUGUCCCUCCUGCUUACUCUCUCCCUCCAGCUCUCGCACUGCACUUGCAGCAUGUGUCAUAUCCCAUUGAUGUCACCCGCCGUCCCCUGCCUCGUCCCUGCCUGCAGGGCUGCCUGUGCCAGUGGCUGCAAUAAGGGUACCCUGGGGCUCCGCAUCCCCCUGCGUUGGUCCCAGGGCAUAGGCAAUGCCAGCUGGGGGCUGAGCCCCGCAGCCAGGCCUGAACACUGCAAGCAGCGGUUCUGCACAUAGCAACAGAGAGAAUGCAGCACGAUCACAGCUCACGCUCCUUCCUGCCGCUUGGAAGUGUCUAGAGAGCUGAAAAAGCUGCAAGACGUUCAUGCUGCCAUCCUUCUCCCUGCUAGCUGCUUCAUGCUCUGGCUGUGUUUUGAGCCCCCUUUCUGGGGGGGCACAGCACUUCCCCAGACCAAUGGAUACCGAUUUGGCGUGAUGAGGGCUGCAGACAUCCCGCAGCGUGCUGCCCGCCGCGCAGGGCUGGCUGACUCAUCGCCAUGCAGCAUGCAAUUACAAAGGCAAGUGCAGGCCCCUACUGCUUUGCACAGGUAUCUGUGUCAGCCGGGGCUAUUUCCAUCUCUCCCGUGCACUCUCAGCUCAUUAGGAGGGGAAGGAACACAGCCACACAGCUCACCUGCCUGCCACAGGACUGGGCAUAAUAUUCCAGUGAGCAGAGAGCCAGAAGGGGAAUUACAACCAAACACAAUGGGGGGAGGAGGCAGCAGGGUGCAUUGCCCACACAUCCCACAUACUCACAGCUGCACACGCAGACCGAGCGGGGGUGUGGAGGUGCACCGUGGUGCAGAGCACCAUUGCCAUGAACUCAGAGGUUCCUGGCCGGAAUCCAAGCGAGGGCUGCAGCCCUCCAUCUGCAAGCACCAUUUGCUACAGGGGUUUAGCAACCGGGGCUGUCACAACUGCAGCAGCUGCAGAACCCUCGGCCAUGAGUGGGAGCAGCUCUGCCGUUGCGUCACUGCUUUGUGCAGUGUAGCACAGGGGAUGGAAUGCCCGGCUGCAGUGUGAGGCAGCGUGUGCUGAGCAAAGCAGUGCCCCAUCCUGUUCUCAUACAAGUGCACUUCUCGUGUGUACUUGUUAUUUUCUAACUAUUUGGUAAUGUUCAUUUCAUUUACUGCACGCAUAAGUGAGCAAAUAUGACAUAUACAAAUGUCGGGAAGUAAUUCAGUUUGUUAAGCUUCUUCAUUAAAAGAACUCUGUAUUAUUAAAGUAUCUACACUGUCAUGGGCUGGUAUCCCAUUAGCAGCCUUAAUAAGAAAUGCUGUUUAUCCAUUCAGAACCAGAUCUCUGGGGCAUGCAUUUGGCAGCGUGCGUUGAGUCAGUGGUGGCAACCGGCAGCAUCUCUGUGUGCCUGGUCACAGGACAGCGUUUCCCACCCUGAGCUCAUGACCAGGUCAAAAACUUCAC